rnacentral:rRNA from 1 species
CUACGUAGGGUGCGAGCGUUGUCCGGAAUUACUGGGCGUAAAGAGCUCGUAGGUGGUUUGUCGCGUCGUCUGUGAAAUUCCGGGGCUUAACUCCGGGCGUGCAGGCGAUACGGGCAUAACUUGAGUACUGUAGGGGAGACUGGAAUUCCUGGUGUAGCGGUGAAAUACGCAGAUAUCAGGAGGAACACCGGUGGCGAAGGGGGGUCUCUGGGCAGUAACUGACGCCGAGGAGCGAAAGCAUGGGUAGCGAACAGGAUUAGAUACCCUGGUAGUCCAUGCCGUAAACGGUGGGCGCUAGGUGUAGGGGUCUUCCACGACUUCUGUGCCGUAGCUAACGCAUUAAGCGCCCCGCCUGGGGAGUACGGCCGCAAGGCUAAAACUCAAAUGAAUUGACGGGG